GACGAACGCUGGCGGCGUGCUUAACACAUGCAAGUCGAACGGAAAGGCCCUGCUUGCAGGGUGCUCGAGUGGCGAACGGGUGAGUAACACGUGGGUGAUCUGCCCCUUACUUUGGGAUAAGCCUGGGAAACUGGGUCUAAUACUGGAUAGGACCAUGCUGUAGGUGGUGUGGUGGAAAGAUUAGUUUCGGUAAGGGAUGAGCUCGCGGCCUAUCAGCUUGUUGGUGGGGUAAUGGCCUACCAAGGCGUCGACGGGUAGCCGGCCUGAGAGGGUGGACGGCCACAUUGGGACUGAGAUACGGCGCAGACUCCUACGGGAGGCAGCAGUGGGGAAUAUUGCACAAUGGGCGCAAGCCUGAUGCAGCGACGCCGCGUGGGGAAUGACGGCCUUCGGGUUGUAAACUCCUUUCAGCCAUGACGAAGCCCUUGUGGUGACGGUAGUGGUAGAAGAAGCACCGGCUAACUACGUG
rnacentral:rRNA from 1 species